rnacentral:rRNA from 1 species
GCAGUAGCCGCGGGAAUACAGAGGGUGCGAGCGUUAAUCGGAUUUACUGGGCGUAAAGCGUGCGUAGGCGGCUUUUUAAGUCGGAUGUGAAAUCCCUGAGCUUAACUUAGGAAUUGCAUUCGAUACUGGGAAGCUAGAGUAUGGGAGAGGAUGGUAGAAUUCCAGGUGUAGCGGUGAAAUGCGUAGAGAUCUGGAGGAAUACCGAUGGCGAAGGCAGCCAUCUGGCCUAAUACUGACGCUGAGGUACGAAAGCAUGGGGAGCAAACAGGAUUAGAUACCCCGGUAGUUCCUGUCUCUUAUAC